UGCCAGACUCCUACGGGAGGCAGCAGUGGGGGAUAUUGCACAAUGGGGGAAACCCUGAUGCAGCGACGCCGCGUGGGCGAAGAAGUAUUUCGGUAUGUAAAGCCCUAUCAGCAGGGAAGAAGAAAUGACGGUACCUGAGUAAGAAGCACCGGCUAAAUACGUGCCAGCAGCCGCGGUAAUACGUAUGGAGCAAGCGUUAUCCGGAUUUACUGGGUGUAAAGGGAGCGCAGGCGGCCUUGCAAGUCUGAUGUGAAAGGCCGGGGUCCAACCCCGGGACUGCAUUGGAAACUGCGAGGCUGGAGUGUCGGAGAGGCAGGCGGAAUUCCUAGUGUAGCGGUGAAAUGCGUAGAUAUUAGGAGGAACACCGGUGGCGAAGGCGGCCUGCUGGACUGUGACUGACGUUGAGGCUCGAAAGCGUGGGGAGCAAACAGGAUUAGAUACCCCAGUAA
rnacentral:rRNA from 1 species